UAGUCAUAUGCUUGUCUCAAAGAUUAAGCCAUGCAUGUCUAAGUAUAUACUUUUGUACAGUUGAACUGCGGAUGGCUCAUUAAAUCAGUUAUAGUUUAUCGAUGGUCACUUACUACAUGGAUAACCGUGGUAAUUCUAGAGCUAAUACAUGCGUAAAACUCCAAUUGGAGUGUGCUUGUCUGAAUUGAACCAAUACCGCUGCGCGGUUUUCUGGUGAAUCAGGACAAAAGAACGAAUCGGCGUCAGCCGAUGCAUCAUUCGAGUUUCUGCCCCAUCA
rnacentral:rRNA from 1 species